AACGAACGCUGGCGGCAUGCCUAACACAUGCAAGUCGAACGAGACCUUCGGGUCUAGUGGCGCACGGGUGCGUAACGCGUGGGAACCUGCCCUUAGGUUCGGAAUAACUCCCCGAAAGGGGUGCUAAUACCGGAUAAUGUCUUCGGACCAAAGAUUUAUCGCCUUUGGAUGGGCCCGCGUUGGAUUAGCUAGUUGGUAGGGUAAAAGCCUACCAAGGCGACGAUCCAUAGCUGGUCUGAGAGGAUGAUCCGCCACACUGGGACUGAGACACGGCCCAGACUCCUACGGGAGGGAGCAGUGGGGAAUAUUGGACAAUGGGCGAAAGCCUGAUCCAGCCAUGCCGGGUGAGUGAUGAAGGCCUUAGGGUUGUAAAGCUCUUUUACCCGGGAUGAUAAUGACAGUACCGGGAGAAUAAGCACCGGCUAACUACGUG
rnacentral:rRNA from 1 species